rnacentral:rRNA from 1 species
AUUGAACGCUGGCGGCAGGCCUAACACAUGCAAGUCGACUGGAAUUUUUCUUCGGAAAAUAGUACGGUGGCGGACGGGUGAGUAACGCGUAAAGAAUUUGCCCUUCAGACUGGGACAACUAACCGAAAGGUUAGCUAAUACCGGAUAUUAUGAGACCUUGGCAUCAAGGACUUAUGAAAGCUAUAUGCGCUGGAGGAGAACUUUGCGUCCCAUUAGGUAGUUGGUAGGGUAAUGGCCUACCAAGCCGACGAUGGGUAGCCGGCCUGAGAGGGUGAACGGCCACAAGGGGACUGAGACACGGCCCUUACUCCUACGGGAGGCAGCAGUGGGGAAUAUUGGACAAUGGACCAAAAGUCUGAUCCAGCAAUUCUGUGUGCACGAUGAAGGUCUUCGGAUUGUAAAGUGCUUUCAGGUGGGAAGAAGAAAGUGACGGUACCACCAGAAGAAGCGACGGCUAAAUACGUGCCAGCAGCCGCAGUAAC